AGAAUCAACGCUGGCGGCGUGCCUAACACAUGCAAGUCGCACGAGAAAGUGGAGCAAUCCAUGAGUAAAGUGGCGCACGGGUGAGUAACACGUGAAUGAUCUACCUCCGAGUGGGGAAUAACUGAGAGAAAUCUUAGCUAAUACCGCAUAAUACCCACGGGUCAAAGCAGCAAUGCGCUUGGAGAGGAGUUCGCGGCCGAUUAGUUAGUUGGCGGGGUAAUGGCCCACCAAGACGAUGAUCGGUAUCCGGCCUGAGAGGGCGCACGGACACACUGGAACUGAAACACGGUCCAGACUCCUACGGGAGGCAGCAGUGGGGAAUUUUGCGCAAUGGGGGAAACCCUGACGCAGCAACGCCGCGUGGAGGAUGAAGCCCCUUGGGGUGUAAACUCCUUUCGAUCGGGAAGAUAAUGACGGUACCGGAAGAAGAAGCCCGGCUAACUCGUGCCAGCAGCCGC
rnacentral:rRNA from 1 species